GAAGACGAAGUCUCUCCAAGUUAAAAUGGGGUGAGGGAGGCUGAGAUGAUGACUAACUCAAGGUUAAGAUAUUUUCUAGGGUUUAGUGAAAGAUUAAUCUAACUAACCAUGGUUAGAUGUGUGGUUUACUCACCAAAAAGCAAUUGUCUAGCUUGGGCCACCGAUGACAGAGCUCUUGAGACAGCCUUCUCUCAAUACGGCGACGUUGUUGAAAUUGGGGCAAGAAGAAAACCAAAAUUUCUCACUUGUUCUUGUUAGAGAGAGAGAGAGAGAGAGAUCGCCGGAGAUGGGUUACGGAUGGGCGAUCUUCGAGGGGAUAGUGGUGAUGGGAUCUCUGUGUCUGUUAGGAUCGGCCGGUCUCUGGUUUCUCAAUCGGAGGCUUUACAAGGAGUACGAAGAGAAGCGAGCCUUGGUUCAAAUCAUUUUCAGCAUCGUCUUCGCCUUCUCUUGCAACCUCUUACAGCUCGUUCUCUUCGAAAUCAUCCCUGUUUUAUCUCGAGAGUGAGCUUUUCGAUGAACAGAUGAGAACAGAUGAAUCUCUUCUGAUUCUUUAGAUUUCAAUCGAUUCACCUUGAUUUUUCUGGUUCCAAUCGUUAUUAAUCUCGAUAUGACGUUUCGGAUUUGACGGCAAUUGAUCUCCGAUGGACUUACGGGGACGGCGAAGGGCACCGGCAAGCUCUUGGCAGAAGAUUCUGCUUUGAAGAGAUUCAGUCCCACAAGAAAAGUGUGCACAAACUUAAGAGGAUUGGAGAUGUGCUCACAGUCGUUGUUGUUGCAGCCAGCAGGAUCGAAGUAGCAAGAAUAUCAAAAGCAAACAAAUCUUUACUCUUUAGAAACACAAAAAGAACCGAUCUUCUUUUGCAGGCUGUUCCAACUGCAAAGGGCCAAGCUUUGGCUGAUGACUAAGCUAGGAAAAAAAAAAAAAACCUAAAUGCAGAGGUAAGAACUGCAGGAAUCUACUACAAUUACUCGGUACUGACAUUAUAGCUGAAUGUUGAAUGUUGUUUUUAUUGUGAAGUUGUAUCUCUUUCCUGGUCUCUAUAUAUAUCGAACCACCAUUGUACUAAACC